rnacentral:rRNA from 1 species
AAUCCCUUAUCGAGGAUCAAUUGGAGGGCAAGUCUGGUGCCAGCAGCCGCGGUAAUUCCAGCUCCAAUAGCGUAUAUUAAAGUUGUUGCAGUUAAAAAGCUCGUAGUUGGAUUUAAGUUUGUUUGUGCGUUGUGAUCGUGAGAUGACGAUGCAUUGAGCAGACAUUAUUUGGGAUUUGGGGUUUCUUGGCAUUCAGUUGUUGAGAUUCAACUGCCCAUCGUUUACUGUGAAAAAAUUAGAGUGUUUAAAGCAGGGGUUUUUCCUUUGGAUAUAUUAGCAUGGAAUAAUAAUAUAUGACUCGUAUGGUCUAUUUUGUUGGUUUGCACAUAUGAGUAAUGAUUAAUAGGGACAGUUGGGGGUAUUCAUAUUUGAGCGUCAGAGGUGAAAUUCUUGGAUCGCUGAAAGAUGAGCUAAGGCGAAAGCAUUUACCAAGGAUGUUUUCAUUAAUCAAGAUCGAAAGUUAGGGGAUCGAAGAUGAUUAGAUACCAUCGUAGUCUUAACCGUAAACUAUGCCGACUCGGGAUGGUUAUGACGCUUUUUAGUCAUAGCUGCACCGUAUGAGAAAUCAAAGUCUUUGGGUUCCGGGGGAAGUAUGAUCGCAAGAUUGAAACUUAAAGGAAUUGACGGAAGGGCACUCCAAAUGUGGAACUUGCGGCUUAAUUUGACCCAACACGGGGAAACUUACCAGGUCCAGACAUAAUAAGGAUUGACAGAUUGAGAGCUCUUUCUUGAUUUUAUGGGUGGUGGUGCAUGGCCGUUCUUAGUUGGUGGAGUGAUUUGUCUGGUUUAUUCCGUUAACGAACGAGACGUGUGUAUGUAGUUUAUUUGCUUGUCUUUUUGACGAGGCCAAGUACCUACAUAGACUAUUAGUGACUAACUAAUUGAAGUGACACGCAAUAACAGGUCUGUGAUGCCCUUAGACGUUCUGGGCCGCACGCGCGUUACAAUGAAUCGUUCAACAGGUUUUUUUCCUGAGUCGAAAGGCUUGGGUAAUCCUUUAAAUACGGUUCGUGCUAGGGAUAGAUUUUUGCAAUUAUUAAUCUUGAACGAGGAAUAUUUAGUAAACGCAGGUCAUCAGCCUGCAUUGAUUACGUCCCUGCCCUUUGUACACACCGCCCGUCGCACCAACCGAUUGGAUGUUUUGUUGAAAUAUGUGGAUGUUUGUUGAGUGGAUUAAUUUUCGCUCGAUAGAUAGAAACGUAUUAAAACUGAAUAUCUAGAGGAUGGUGAAGUCGUAACAAGGUU